AUUUCUAUGCUGUUGAUAAUAUGUGUGGAACAGAGGCAUGAUCAUUGAUGGCGAAGUUGAUUCUGAAUUCUACAUCGAUACUCGUGCAAGCACAAGUGAUGGUGAAGAUACAAUGUAAAUAGUGGGAGCUUAGUGCACCGAUUUGCAGAUACUUGUAUCUUGUAGACUUGGCAAAAGAAUAGUUGUAUCUUAUCUGGAGAUCUCCUCAAGUUUGUGGAUAUAGAAACUAAGUUGCUGCAGAAGUGUUUUUUAUUUAAUAUGGUUGACUAAAGUAAAUGUUUUAUUGGUCUUACAUGUUUUUUGUGCUUCCUUCAUUAUAUUAGUCUGCUCAGCAUGGUUUGUUAUGUUUAUUUAGGUAUGUGCUUGCUUACGCUUUAAGAAAAAAACUAAGUAUGUAUAUUCUCAAAUAGGGAUCAAAUUCCACCCGAUGAUCGAGUUUGGUGUGGCGAGUGUAGUAUCUCAAAAAGGAUGUAAGCUAAAUAUAUAAUUUCACCCAAUCACUCGAUUGAGUUUGGUGCAGGGAGUGUGGUAUCUAAAAGGAAGGCCGUAAACUAAUAUAUAGAUUUACAUAGGGAUCAAAUUCCAUCCGAUCACUCGAUUGAGGUUGGUAUAGCGAGUGUGGAAUCUAAAAAGGAUGCUACUUGGUCUUUCCUUGCGAUUAAAUUCAUUGAAUAGACUUGACCCGAUCACUCGAUUGAGGUUGGUAUAGCGACUGUAGAAUCUAAAAAGGAUGCUACUUGGUCUUUCCUUGCGAUUAAAUUCAUUGAAUAGACUUGACCCGAUCACUCGAUUGAGGUUGGUAUAGCGACUGUAGAAUCUAAAAAGGAUGCUACUUGGUCUUUUCUUUCGAUCAAAUUCAUUGAAUAGACUUGCUUAACGUUCAUAGUUUAUAUCUCUAUGACUCUAUAUGAUUUGCAAUUUGCGAUAUAUAUAAGAGUUCUAUUUUAAAAUGGACGUAAAUUAUUAGUUUCAUUUCCUAACUAUUGACAAUUUUAAAAACACAAUCUAAUUGACAAACUAAAUGUAGAUACACCCUUAAUAUACAACAUGACAUAUCAAAUGGUCUCAAACUCUUGUGCAAACAUGAGACUCUUAAUAAAAAAAAUUGAGAGAAGUGUUAAAAACAUUCUAAACUUGACGAGAAUUUAAGAGUGUAUUUCACUCAUGUGUUGAUUAACUGAAGUAAAGGAUAUCUUUCAAAGUCUAUCACAAGCAUGAAAGUCUUAACAAAAGAACCAAGAGAAGUUGAAAACAUAACUUGGCAAUUUUUUUUUGAAGGUUGUGAAUAGUUCUGAAACAAAUAAGCACAGUUUGCUAAGAUAAUGGAUACUAUAUAUCUACUAUGGGGUUGAGUGUGUUGGGCACCAUCCAGAUCCUUUCACCAAACCAAACGAACCUCCUUUCCUUCUUCCAAAUCCGAAUUUACAAUAUGCAGAUUUUCCAAUAUUGAUUGCAAUUAGCGAUUCGUUUAUCUGCGGUUUGCUUUUUGCUAUUCCAAUUUUGUUAACGAAGAAGAAGAAGAAGAAGUAAAUCCGAACACAAUGGGAGAACGCAAGUCUUCAUCUAAGAAAAAAUCUUCCAGAAAGAAGAGGCUCAAAGUUUCCUCUAAAGGUAUCUUUUUCAACUCUCCUUUUCGAUGCUUUCCAUUUAUUCGCAUAAUAACAUUCGUUCGCUUGCUCAGUAUAAUGUAUAAUGUUCCUGUAUGGUGUGUUGCUUUCUUUCUAUUUCGUUUUGAAUUAUUGUGUGUAGUUAUGUAUUUUAGGGUUUAUCUUCAUCUUAAACUAAAGUUAUUGAACUUUGUUUUGUAUCAAAUAAAAUCACUCAACUUAAGGUUUUUAUUUCUAAUCUCCUUUAAUUUGCUUUUUAAGGGCUUAUGUUUUUUCUGUUUACUGAAUUAAUUUUUGUGAUGUUAUGGAAUAUUUGUUAAUGUCCUUUUGUAGUGAUGCUAAUAGUUCCCUUUUUACUGGUGGUGGAAAUAGGGAAGAUAGUUAAAACUAAUGGUUAGUUAUCUGCUAUGUUCCAAAAAUGUUAGUUACACCCGUGUUGGAUCCUCCUAAAAUGCACUACUUUUGGAGGAUAGAACACAUACCCGGCGACAUUUUUGAAGAGUCCGAACAACAUAAGUUAUAUGUACCCUCUGUUGAACAUAAGUCCAAGCAACAUAUGUAAUUAGCUGGUUUAACUUUUGGGUCUUUUCAUGUGUGCCAUCAGGGGAUGUUAUUUUGGGGAUAAAAAUUAAGAUAGCCGUUCUAUUAGCUAAAAAUUAAAAUGAAACUAUGUUCCAAGAACAAGGGUCAAAAAGUAAUUCAGAAGGCUGGUUAUUUUGGGUACAAUACUUGUAUGAGUUGACAUUACUGAACUGGGAGAAUAUAAGUCCUACUCCUUCCAGUUUGUUUAGAAGGGAUUAUUUUCAUGUAAAUAUUCAUAUACAAAUCUGUAACAUGAUAAGGCUUCAUGUGAUAUAGCUCAUGAUCGCUCGUGGGAGUGUUAAGCACGUUGCAUAGUCAUUUGAAUCGCUAUAGUUAGAGUUCCAUGAAUCAUUUAUUGUUCUUUGUAUUUUUUUUGUUUUCUGCUCUAUCCGUAAAAUAACCUUAGUGGAGCAAAUCUAGAGUUAUUUAUCAAAAGAAACAAUUAUCUGCACCUGUUAAUACUUGGUAUCUUUUAGAAGCCACCAUGGAAAAACAGAUAUCUAAGAUCUUGUAUUAAAUAUAUUCUUUUUUGUUUCAAUUUGUAAUUCCUUAACUGACACUCAGAAGAAAGAAUUAUGAAAGACUUUAUAAUGCUUGAUCAUGCCAGCACACUUUGUACACUCUUUAUUGAAUAUAUUUAAUACCCAAAUAUUCAUGGAGAUGUUUUCAUGAGAAAUUGCAUUAUAUUUUUAAUUAACAUUAGGCAUGCUUUCGUAGAACAAUGUAAGGUUACCUCCUGUUUUCUUAUCAAUACAUUCUCAUCUUGUCACUGGCAAUUCCAAUUUAUCAUCCUUCAUUAUACAUCUUCAUGUGUUGUGUGGUUAGAUACGCAAGAUAAAAAGCAGAAGAAACAAAUCCAAGAAGUUUUCCAGUUCCGAGGAUGACUCGUCAUCUUCUGCUUCCUCUGAUUAUUCUAGCAGUCCACAGUCUUUGUCCUCUGAUUCAGAGGUUGAUUAUAGUAUGAAAAAACAUAGGCACUCACGUGAUAUGAAACGCGUGAAGAAAAGAACUUGGAGAAGAUAUUCAAGCCGAGAUGUCAGUGAUAGUUCACCCCCUGUAAAGAAAAGAAAACGGUCAAAUAGAAAGAGUCUUGAUUAUGGGAGAAAAGUGCAGAAGAAGCGAAAGAGACACGCUAGUAUUAGCUCCACGAACAGUGACUCAAGAAGUUGUUCUAGUUGCCGACGUUAAAAUAGUAUUAGCUCCAGAGGUAGAGAUUCUAAGAGCUUUUCCACUUGCCAAGAUGCAACUAAUAGUGGUAAAUAGGAAGCGAUAACAAAAUUGAGUUUAAUUAAAAUACAUUUGCAUAUACUACUUAAGGUUCCAAAUAUUUAUAGUUUUAACAAAUUAAUCUUGUCUUAAAAUACCUGACAUCUGAAGAUUUUUUUUUAUUAUAUCUAGGUUUUAAAUUUUCUAAUUUAAUUAGUAAGUAUUAUUACUGAUUAAAGAGUAAAUAAAUAAAAAGUAAUAUAAACAAGUAUACUUAUGAUUAAAAAUAUUACUAUAAAUACUUUUGCAAAGCGAUGUCCAAAUAAAAUAGGCAUAAUAUAUAAAUAUAUCUUUUAAUUUGUCUUCCAUACUAAGACGAAUGUAUCUAUUUGUUUAAUUUAUAUAAGUUUAAGAGUCUAUUUGUACAUAUUUAAAAUUGAAGGGCAUAACUAUUUGCUUAAGCUAAAUUAAAAGCACGUUUAUGUAUUAUGCAAUAAAAUAUUGAUAGCUCGUUUUUAUACAUUUAAACAGCACUAAAAGAUAGGAUUAAGUGACUUUGAAGUUAACAAAACAAAAUCUGCGCCACAUGUAAUAAUAAGUCGUUUUCUACUUUGUUGUUUCUGGAAUUUCUUAAGACCCCUCAAUAAACCUUGUUCUUUUCAUCUUUUCUUUAAGAAGGGUUUCAGUUUUGGGAAAUUGGGGCUGAGCUGCAGUUUGUGUGAAGUGAAAAAUGGGGAGAGUAUUUUUGGUGGAUCUUGAAGGCAAAACCUACAAUUGCAAAUUCUGCAAAACCCAACUUGCCCGUGCUGAUCAACUUAUUUCCAAGGUACAAUUUUUUCCCCUUAUUUUUAUUUUUUAUUCUUUGGUUGAAUGACUAGAUCUAGCUAUGUAAAAUCCUGAUCUUUCAUUUGACAUGGUUAUAUAUCACUUCUCGGUACAAGUAAAAAUCUCACCUUUUUUAUAGGUAGUAAAUAAGUAAUUUUUGUGUUGUUUAGUGCAAAUGCAAUGCACUUGUUAAUUCAGAAGUUUCAAAUUUUACGAAUUCGUCAAUCCUCAUCAUGAAUUUGAAUUGACCAUUAGGAAAAUGGUUUAUUGAGUUAGGGAUGGAAGAGUGUGCAGAUUUUAUUUGUCUCUAAAAAAAUGUUGUUGAUAAGAUCCAGAAAUGAUUGACUACUUCACGAGAGAUAGCAGUGACGUGUGAAGACGUUUGGAAGCUCUCAAGCAUGUUGGAUCAUGUCGAUUUUAUGUAUAUUCAUAGAUGUUUGAACAAAAUAGUUCAUAGUUUAGCUAGAUUUUCUAUUUCUUUGUUGAAGGAGAUCUCUUGGGAGAGGUUUUUCCCAAGUUGGAUCGUGCAUGAUGCUAAGGGUACAUUUGAAUUUCGUAGUUUUUGAUGCAAUAAUACAAAUUGUUUAGUUUCGGUGAAAAAGUUCAUGAAUCUGACAAGUUUUAUGUUGGUUGCCAAGCAUACAUUAACCCUCCUCUUUGUUUAAGCGUGGGACUCAUUAAACACGUUCUUUUAAAUAAGAACUCAAUUGUAGAUUCUUCUUCGUUGCGUGUGCUAAAAGCAAAGUUGCAUUUGGGAUUUGGAGGUUUGUGGUGCAACAUUGCUUUGAACAUAGACAUCUUGCUAUUUAAACAGGGAAGGUUGUCUUCUCUUUUAGAGGAAAGAAAAGAUUUUGGGGAUAGAAAGAAGGCAACAAAAAUAAUUUAAAAAAUCAAACAAGGUUAAAUUAAACAAUAAAGUCUAAAAGAAUCACUACUAGGAAAAAAGAGGAGAAUAGGUGAAAUGCCUAACUCCUUAAUUGCCCAGUGAAGCAAACAAAAUAGUUAAAGUACUGUAGAGGGCUGGAAUCGAACUCACGCAACCUAGAAGGAAUGUCCGGAGUUUUGCCAGUGGCAUCAUGUAUUAUUUUAUUCAAUGAGUGGCACUUUGGCACCCCCUCGGCCCUUAGUAGAUCCUCCCCUGGUUAAAAGCAACUCCUUUUUUCACUCGUAAGUAAAAUAUAUGCAUAAGAAUUGUCUAGCACCAUUAGGUGAUGUAAGUUGGAAUUCUUGAAGCAAGUAAAAUUAAUUGGAACUGAAGAAGUUUCUUUUAUCUCAUUGUGUAUGAACUGUCAGUUUACUUUCUUUGUCGUGGUAUAUUGCAUGAGAAAAUUGUGUUUCGUCUUUGCUGCAUAAAUUGCAUUUCAUUUUGCAAUGGUUAACUAUGUCUGACAAAAUCUCCUUUAUGCUAUUUAUUCAGGCUUUUCAUUGCAGCAGUGGAAGAGCAUACCUGUUCAAUAAAGUGUGAGUGGCCUCUAACGUCAUAUUGAUAGUAUACAUUGCUAUUUCAUGAAUCUGGAUUUUUGUUUUACAAGUGAUUUAAUUUGUUGAUAAACCUGCAUCCAUUCGUGAGUGACAACUGGUGCUUUCUUUUUGGGGGUUGUACGAUACUGUAUCUGUUGUCGGGAGAAAGUGCUGUUUAAUAUGUUUGGCACAUCAUUCGGACGCAGUUGAUAGGCGUUUCUCCUAAUUGGUUAAGUGUUACAUCACCAUUAACAACCUGUUGCGUCUAUUUUCAGUGAAUUAUAGGCAAUACGGUCAUUUUUAUUCAACAGAAUGCCAUUUGUGACCAAGUAUUUGUGGAAUGAAUGAUAUUGCCUGUCCGGACAUUUUUUUUUUGAAAUGGUAGAGGUUUUAUUAAUAAUAGUACCAAGAUGGUACAAAAAGUACAAGCCACCAAAAAGACAAGUAGCAACCCUUCUUUGUUCUUAUUAUUAUUCCUUUAAAUUUCGGGGGGUGGGGGGGUUAUAGAUAUAAAUGGCUAUUGCAAAGAAAUGCACUUGAGGGCUGAGGCAUGUAGGAACUUCUCACAUUUGAUUCAAAAUACUUUGUCAUGCUUUCUAUAGUAUUUUGCCAUGAUUUCUUUUCUUCCGUUAUUUCUUUUUCAAUCUUCUUUGAUAUGUUUAUCCUUGAGCCGAGGGUCUAUAGGAAACAACCUCUCUACCUCCAAAGGUAGGCGUAUGGUUUGGGCACACUCUACCCUCCCCAGACCCCGCCUAUUGGAUUACAUUGGGUAAGUAGUUGUUGUUAAUUGCAAGUUCCAAUGGCUUGCUCAACAUCAGCAUCAGCUAGAUAUUAUGUGCAUUUGAGCAUAACUGUUUGACUUAGGCCACAUUUGGAUAUAGAGUUUGCUCAAUUGUCCGAGGUACGUGUACGUACAUACAUAUGUAUGUAUGCUUGAAUUCUUCUUGCCCAUCUACUUUCAAGAUUUUGGUUUCCCUGGAUUAGCCUGGCUGCCCAGAUUGUAUGUUGUCAUCAGUAACUAUAAUUCAAAUUUUCAUAGUUUCAUUAGUGAGUUAUCGACCUAGCAAGUCAAAACAGAAGACAAUGCUGCAGGCUGGAUGGAAUCUGUACUUUUGCAUGGUUGCUUGGUGUAGACUGGAGUUUUCUGAGCGGCUGUAGUUGGUAGAAGACCACUUUCCUUUUUUAAAGAUGUUGCUAUGUUUAAAGCUUAUUUUCUGACAGGAAGCUAUGCUGAAUCAUCUUACUGCGGAAGCUUGUUUUUUAAUUAGGGGUUGAAUGGAUUAGUUUAUGUCAUGGUUGUUAAGUGGUGAUCUCUUACCAGGAGCACAAUCUAGUUCAGUGGUCUUCUUUACUUGGCUUUCUUGAUUUGUGCAAGAGAUGUGUGUUUUUAGCUCCAUUUUCUGUUCUUUUAUCCUUCCUCGGCCUGAUCAGAUUAUGUUUCUUUUCCAAUUCAUUAGAUGGAAUUUUUCACCUUUCUUUCUUUGUGUUAUUUAGGGUAAAUAUAUAUUUUGGACAGACCGAGGAGAGGACGUUGCUUUCUGGAACGCACACUGUGACGGAUAUAUUUUGUCGUCGCUGUGGGCAGAUUCUUGGCUGGAAAUAUGUAAUUCCUCUCAUCCCCUCUUCUUUUUCCAUACGCACCAACACGUAGAGCCAAAAAAUACAACUAUGGGAACACACACACACACACAAAAAGUUCCUUUUAUUGUCUUUUGGGGGAUAUGAAUCGGUGUAUAUAAGUUAAACUAACACAGUAUAUGUAACAUGCGUAGUUCUAUUAACGACUAAUAUUUGUGUCUCGUUUACACAGGAGAAAUCCCAUGAGGAAAGCCAGAAGUACAAAGAAGGGAAAUUUGUCCUUGAAAGGUUUUAUUUCUCUCUCCCCCUCUUUAUCUUUUUAUAGUAAAAAAAAAAUUCGCAUUACAUUUUAUCGGAAAACAACAAUAUGCUCAUUUUAAGUGUUCCUAAUAUAACAUUUCUAUGUUGAUAAUGUGUGUUGAACAGAGUCAGGAUCAUUGAUGAUGAAGAUGAUUCUGAAUUCUACAUUGAUACUCGUUCAAGCACAAGUGAUGAUGAAGAUACAAUGUAAAUAGUGGGAGCUUAGUGCACCGAUUUGCAGAUACUUGUAUCUUGUAGACUUAGCAAAAGAAUAGUUGUAUCUUGUCUGAAAAUCUCUCUCAAGUUUGUGGAUGUAGAAACUAAGUUGCUGCCGAAGUGUUUUUUAAUCAAUAUAUGCUCGACUUAAGUUAA
rnacentral:lncRNA from 1 species